GACGAACGCUGGCGGCGUGCUUAACACAUGCAAGUCGAACGGAAAGGCCUGCUUUCCCUUGUGGAUUGCGGGUACUCGAGUGGCGAACGGGUGAGUAACACGUGAGUGAUCUGCCCCCAACUUGGGUAUAAGCCUGGGAAACUGGGUCUAAUUCCCGAUAGGACUGCAGGGUGGUGCCUGUGGUGGAAAACGAUUUUCUAGUGGUUGGGGAUGAGCUCGCGGCCUAUCAGCUUGUUGGUGGGGUAAUGGCCUACCAAGGCGGCGACGGGUAGCCGGCCUGAGGGGGUGGACGGCCACAUUGGGACUGAGAUACGGCCCAGACUCCUACGGGAGGCAGGAGUGGGGAAUAUUGCACAAUGGGCGGAAGCCUGAUGCAGCGACGCCGCGUGGGGGAUGACGGCCUUCGGGUUGUAAACUCCUUUCGACCGAGAGGAAGCCACCUGGUUGGAAGGGUGGUGACGGUAGUGGUAGAAGAAGCACCGGCUAACUACGUG
rnacentral:rRNA from 1 species